CCAAUAUUGCUGAGACCUUGCAGCUUCUGCUCUCACUCUCUUGGAACAUUGCCACCAUUUUCUGAAGAAGUCCAGCUGGAAAGAGACAGCCAGAAAUCGCAGCUGAGGCUCCAGACAUGUCAUUGAGGCCACCAUAAGCCAAUUAAUUAAGUUGCCAGCUGACCACAGCUGCUAAGUGAGUCCAGCACCUGGCACUGCUCUCCAGGACCCCCCUGCGUGGGCCCACCCAUGCCCACAGGUGGCUGUAUUAUUGCCAGAGUUUCAGAUCUCACACUUUGAUCCUCAACGUGCUUGAAGAAUAUCAACUCAUUAGCUUCACUGUCUGAAUAUAAGGGCUUUCCCCACCCUCCACUGCAAGGGGCCCUGACACCCUCCUACAAGCAGCUGCAGGGAAAGCCACCCGGGCGGAGGGCUGGGGAAGCAACCCCUGCGGGAGAGCAUGGCAAGCAAGGCAGGCUUGGAGCUCAGCAGGCCGCCUCAGGCUAUUCCUGCACGUUAUCCACGCCCAACCCACAGCUGCUGGGACCACAGGCCAGAUAAACAAGCUCUCCCAUAAUACCAGAUGCCAAUUGCUUGCUUUUACCAUCAGCCGUGAAAUUGAAGGGUUGCAGUGUUUCUCAUUUCUUAGUUUGGGGACUGUGAGGGUGCUAAGGAGGAGAGAAACCAUUCACAGGCAGAGGACAAAUGAGCCAGAUCCUAAAGCAAUAAUACCAGGCAACAUUUGGGCACUUGUUCUGUGCCAGGUACUGAGAUGUGCAUUUUAAACGUAUUAAUUUAAUCCUUAUUUAUAUAUAUUAACUCCCUUAAUCCUAGUAUUUUGCGGGGCAGAUGUCUUAAAAGCCCCAUUUGAUGCAUGCAGAAUUGAGCCUCAAAGAGAGAUUUCCCUUGCCCUAGGCUGUGGCACUAAUCAUGGUGGAACACGGGUUUGAACUCAGGCGGUGGGGCUCCAGAGCUGAUGCUCAGCUCCAGAGAGGACCCCAGUCGCAUGGCAAGUGUUAUCCUCACAGCCACAGGCCUGGUGGUUGGAAAGCCAGGCAGGCUACCAGGUUAGCCCUUGAGGGCCAAAGAGUAUCUAAUUAGAUACUCUAGUCCCCUCUUCAAACCUCUGAAUCUGAGCUGGGGAAGGAGGGGAGGGACGAGUAGGAUCUCAGGGCAGCUAAAGCAGGUGGAGAGGCCUAGGGAAUGGGGAGUUGGGAAAACUCAGCUUGGUUGGGAGAGGGCGGGCAGAGUGGAGCAACUUGGUCCCAGGACGGUUCCUCUGUCUGGGCCCCACUUGUGUGUCUUGAAGGGGAAAGCACUUCAGGUCUAAAGUAGAGGAGCAAAUCCCAGCCCCGCCAGAUGUUUCAGUGUUUCUCCAGGAGGUUUGGUGAGAGAAGCGUGACAGGAGAGCGGUGCCAAAAGAGACUCACUGGAAGGCCGCUUGCAUAUAGAACUUUCCACUUAGAUUGUAUCCGUAUUUCAGAUCAAUAAAAAC